UAAGUAUGCACCUCUUGCGAAAUGAAAUUUCCUAUACAAAACCUAUGCAUAAAAAACGUCGCGAAAUGCUCGCGAAAAAAAUUUUCGUUUCCAUUUCGUAAGCGGUACGCAGCUCUCGCGAAAACGAUAACGAAAAAUGCAGUUAGCCGAGACACGGUUCGACAAACGAUAAGUUUCAUAAUACUUCCGCGAGAUAGCGCUGCUUUCUAUGCGCUGUCACCAAGGCAAACUUUUUCCUUGCGAAAUAAUGGUCAAUGGUAUUAUUUCGCACGGAGGCUCGCGAAAUUUUGACAGGUUGCAUUGAAAAAAUAUAAAAAAAACAAAAGAUUAGUAAUUUUUUGUAUUUUUUUUUCAUCGCGGCCUGUCAAAAUUUUGUAGUUUUGAGAAUCAAUAUUUUGAAUUUGAAUGCACACCCGAACAAAGCAGCCACAAGAGCAGCAUUUUUCGUCACCAGCCAUCUAUCUACUUGAUAAGUUUUCAACAACAACAACCAGGUGCUACAAAUCAGCUCAACUUGACUCAACAUCCUGGAUCUGGCAAUCAGCCAACCAACAUUAAAUCGAUACAACCGUAGCAGUACCAACAACUCCAAAUCCAGCAGCUGCCAACAAUCUCUCAAAAAAGAACCACAGCAAUUACAGCUCAGAACCAACAAAGCAACAAGAGCUUUUUUAAGAAUAAUGGACCCAUCGGAAACACUUUAUCGGCACAUUCUGUCGUAAAACUUGCCUGCCACUAUUCUUACCAGCGGUUACCUUCCUGAUGUAGAGAAAUCAGAGUCAAACACAAACGUCAUAUUACUGCCUUGGCUCCUACCAGUUGCUUGCAUGAAAAUAUCGCUGCCUCCACAGUGCUCGUGAUUUCAUCCCAGCAGCAGCUAGCAACCACAAUUCCAGUGCUUAUCGCCAGCAACAUCAGAAAAUUAAGAUUUCCCCUAGACCAUGACCAUCAUCCGACAGAUCGGUAGCAACGUUCAACUGACGGUACAACCUGGCCAGCAACCGCAAGUAGUGCAAUCGAUCCAAGCCAAUCAGGGCCAAAUGUAGAAGACCAUUGGUCAACUGCAAAAAAAAGAUGCAUCAACAGCACCUUCAAACACAGUAGCAGCAGCAUACUGUACUGUACCACGCCGCGUGCAGGACUUUUUUUUAUUCAGUUGGUGCAGCAAGAUCGAACAGCAACCAUAGCGGAUACACAUCACCGAACACCAGCAACAUAAUGCCAUGGUAACCACCCAGCAGCAGAGCACGGCGAUAAUGGGCCAACAGUAAAUACAACAUCAAGAUCCUCGGAAAGGACUUUCUCUUUCGAACAAACAUAAUGGAAGCAUACUCUACACGCGCGACAUAUUCAAUCGGGCCAACCGUGUGACUCGUUUGGCAAAAAGGGCUCAUCAUCGGUUUCAUGGCAGCGAAGUGAGCAGACAAAAGAAGGCGUUUUUUCCGAAUGGUCGCUCUGGGCAAAAGUUCAGCUAAUUGCAAGGAACAAACCACCGGAGUGACAGUAUCCGUGCUGAUUCAGGACCUUUUUCCAUAUAUUGUAGCUUUUGAAUUUUAAUACCCGAUCGAAACGAUGGCAAGUGCUGCCGAUAACUGGGUCAAAAAGGCGGAAGGAGGAUCAGGAAAUUUCUGCACUCGGUUUUGAAUUCUUCUUUUCAAUACAAAUAGGUUGUCGAUCUGAGUAUCCCUAAGGAUAAGAAACCAGAGCCGACGGCUGACAGCCCAAAGAAAGAGAAUGCGGAAAAACCUAGUUCACCGCCAGUAGAACCAGCGAUCAAAUUACUCCGGUAGAAACGGCUGCACCUGCAGUUUUGUUUUCGGUAGCUACAGAAAUUAAGACUUUAGCAGCUCCUGAAGAAAAAAAAGCUGCUAGCGAAAAUGGAGAAACAGCUUCCUCCACGGAAGAUGCAGAGGCAUUCAACCCGGCGGAUGCAAGUUUGCUAAUUAAACUUAUUCGCAAAGGUCUAGUAGAAUCAAAGCUGGAUCUGGGGGUGAAGGAUCCUUCUUCGCCGCUAUACUUGGUUAAAACUUUCGAAGCUUUGCACAUGAAUUCGGAACUGCUUCUAUGCUAUGGGUUUCAACGCUCCUUCCAAGAUUCAGAAGACGGCUCAACCUACUCUGUUGGCCGAUCUACCACAGAACAUAAUCGCCCAGAGUUGGUCGAGAACAAGAAAAACCACUGCCUUCGUGCUGGCAAUGCUCAAUCGAGUCAAUCCGUUGAAAAACUAUCCGCAGGUGAUUUGCCUUUCCCCACGUAUGAACUGGCAAUUCAGAAGGGGAAAGUAGCUGCAAAACGGCAAAGUUUUGUGCGGAAAUCGAACUUGGUUAAACCGUUCGCGGUGAGAAGAUCGUCAAAGGGUCGAAGCUGACUAAUCAUAUCAUCAUCGGAACAGCCGGGCGUUCGACCUUAAGAAGAUUGCCAUUUUUGUAAUGGACGAGGCGGGCGUUAUGAUCGCUGUUCUUUUUAGCAACGUACGAGCGGGAGGUGAUGGGAUUCGUCCAGUACAUCGUAACCAAUCCGAUCAUGAUUCUUCUGGUGCGGGAGCAAGAAUCACUCGAUAACACCAAACACUACUACGUCAAAUGCCGCAACCAGGACGAGAAAUAUCAAGCAAUUUCAAACAUGUACGGUGUGAUUACCGUCGGACAAGCGAUCAUUUUCUGUCAUAUGAUGUAUAGGACAGUUGUAAACUCCAAGUAAACUUAUUUUCGGCAUUGUUACUCGAUCGAAACAGGCACGCAAAACGGCCGGUUGGUUGACCGGCAGGAUGUCCCAGGAUGGUCAUUCGGUAGCGGUACUGUCCGGUGAUCUAACGGUGGAGCAACGGUUGGAACGAACGUUUUGCCCAGGGGUAUCGACGUCGAACAGGUUACCAUUGUCGUCAACUUCGACCUGCCGAUGGAUUAGCAGGGACGAGCCGAUUGCGAAACGUAUCUACAUCGAAUUAGACGCACCGGUAGAUUCAGUAAGUGUGUCAUUCUUGUGAUCCUAUAGAUUGUAUUUCUUCCCACUUCUUUAACAGAACGGAAUCACCAUCAACCUAGUGGGUAGUGAUCGAAGCAUGAUGAUUUGCAGAUCAAUGUAAAAACACUUCCGGAAAAAGAUUCAGUUGCUAGACGCGGAGAACUCGGACAAAAUUUAAAAGAUCGCACCGUAAAAUGUUUUCGACCAGCUACUGGUGAAAGGCGUAGGAGCUUUUUUGGGUCAUACUUGUUUUGAUUCUGAAUUUAUAAUUUUAUUAUAUUUUAAUUUUUUUUUCUUCCUUGACCUGACAUAAGGUAUACAAAUGUAACCAAAGGGUAUCGUAAGCUAAUAAAUUUACAAUUACAAUUACAAUUUAUCUGUACCCAGUUCUAUCCAAACAUUUGAAAAGGGCCUAACUGCAAAAUGUAACAAAUUGAAAUUUCAUGUUUUCCAUUAACGAAUAUCUACCCGAGCACGUACAUAACGCAACAUUUGAUUAUGAAGAAUUUUGAUAGCGAUUUUACAACAAUUUAUAAAAGGGCCUAAUUGAUUUUUAUGACCGAACUGAUUAUGAAAGGACCUAGCUGAUUGAAAAGUGCCUAACUAGCAAUACACUCGUUUUAAAUGGAUUAUAACGUAUUAUUGUAUUAUGACUGAUUGUAAAAGGCUUAUAACAUAUUUUCCAUAAUUUACAUACAGUGCCAAUCUGAUUUUAUGAUGUUCAGUGGGGUCAAUCUGACCAUCAAUUUAGAAUUCAGUUAAUUCGUCUAACUUUCGGUGUAAUAUCAGACUUGAACAGCAUUUUUUGUGUGAGGUAUUCUGCCGCUAGAAGCAAAACUGUCCCAUGUGCUAUGGGAAUCCCUAUACACAUGGGACAAUUAUACUUCUUGCGGCAGUAAUACAAGUAGUAGCAAUACGCACAAUUCCUUAAACCUCUCUAGUGUUUCAUGCAAUAAGAAUUACCACGAAUUACUUAUGGCAAUAAAUUUGAAUUACGAUUCUCACAAUUGUUAUACCAAAAAUAGGUUUGUAUCCGUACUGAUUUUUGGUAGCAUUCCCUGAGACUUCCAGAACCUUUAGUAGUAGCACAGAUAACAGACGUUUAGGCUCGAUUUGAAUCGUGUGUAAAUACCCGCUGCUGAAAUUCCGAAUAAAUCAGACAUCUGAAACAUGUUUGGCAAACGUUUGCAGAUGGCGCAGUGAUCACUACAAUGCAGUUAGAGUGCAGCUGUCGAACACGUGUAGCAAACAGUUGCGCAAAUGGCAAUAGUGAAACACGGAUUUUCAACGUAUAUCAAUUUGAAAGUUUACACAGGUUUUUGAAGAAAUUUUGUUCUAGCCUAAACGUCUGUUAUCUGUGGUAGUAGCCAUUGUUAUCAUAAUCGAUUUUUAACGUCAGCCAGAGUUUAAAGCCUAGGGUUUGGUUCGACCUGAAACCGAUUGAGUCGGAGUCGGUUGUUAUAUUUGCGUUAUAUUUCCGGAUUCCGAAACGUGUUU